rnacentral:lncRNA from 1 species
AGCUGGCCUAUUCAAUUAGGGGUUGAAGGCUUGCCGACCUGGUAAUCUAACCGGCCUAUCGAGCUCUUGAUUGUCCGACCUACGGGUUUGACCACGCAGAUCCCUCGACGCUCUAAUCAAGCGUUCCUUCGAUGCUCUGCCCAGCGAAGUUGUUUCCUGCAAGAGACAAUUUGGUGAGCUCGUCAAGCCUGGAAAUCUGAGGUGAAACAGAGCCACACAGAUU